rnacentral:snRNA from 14 species
AAUCUUACCUGGCGGGAAAACAUUAUUAUUCUGGGCUGGGCUGGGCGGGGCGGGGCGGGGCGUCCUAGGAAGAGACUGAUUCAUUGCAUCUGGGAUGUGCAGAUUCCCGUAACUUCCGCAAACGGGAGAAGUCGGCUCCCUGACUUGUAUUAUUUGGAGCUGCGUUCCCGCUUUGUCCUU